UUGCACCUCUCUAAAUUUGCAUAUGCUAAUACACCACUAUUUCCUUAAAUAUUAUUAUCUUUUUCAUUGAAAAACUUACUAAAAUAAUCAUUUGGAUAGACGAUGAGAUUGACUCUGAUGAGAUUAAUCAUUGUAGCAUUGUGAUCAAGUAUUGCAGUGGUGAAAUUGACAUUAGUGAUAACAUAUGUGUUUGGAUGCAAACAUAAAAGUGGGGUGAGCUGAAAGUAAAAUAUGAUUAUUAACAUCAUCAUAUUAAAUUUUUUAUUUAUGAAAAUUUUAAUUUAGUUGAUACUUUUGAUAUAAAAAAAUAUAUUAUAUUAGUAAUGGGCCAAAUCCGUCCAGGCCCAAUUAAACCCAAAAUGCCCCAAGCCUCAAAAAAAACCCUAGCCCAAUACAUUAAAAAAAUCAGAAAAAAGAAACAAAAAAAAAACCUAAGUUCAGCCGCCGUACCAUCGCCCAUACCUUCUGCCUUCAACCACUCUCUGCCAUCCCUGAGAAACAAACCAAAGAAGAGCAGAUAAACACAACACGCAAACAGUAGCAGAAACAUUUUUUUUAAUAUUUGUAAUCGGCUUUAAAAGGCCGAAUAAUGAAUGUAAAAGGGGGACUCUUUUCAAAAUUCAAAAAACGAAGAAAUUAAUCAAAAAGAGACCAAGAAUUUCGAAAGGUUUUUUUUAUCCUUUUUAUUUUUUAUUUUUGAUAAAAUAAAUAAAUAAGCAAAACAUACCUGUUGUCUUGUUUUCUCACCACGGUUAAAGGCCGUCGCCGGCGUUUUGAUGCCACAAACCCGUUGGGUUCCCAACGAGGGUUUAAAAGAGGGAAAUAGGAUUGGAAAUAACCCUUUUUUCUUCCCUUUUAUUUCUGAUUUUUGGUUUUAAAAAAGGAGAUAGAGAUCAAAUAAGGGGGGAAGAGACUUAUCUUAGUAUUGACUCCUUCGAGUCCUUGCUUGCUUCGUCGUUAUCGAAGCCUAGGUGAAGAUUCGGAGGCUCAGGAGCACGACCCUCGGAUUCGUGGUCGAACAGGGCUAGAUUUGGCCUUCGCUUGAUGACCGUCGGCCGAAUACAGAGGCAAAACAGCAAUUGAAGUCUUUCUUUUUUUUUUUCGGCCGAAUGAGAGGGGAGGAGGCUAAGGCUUAGUUUGGAUGGGCGGUGUGUUUUCUUGGUGAGAUUGAAUACUAUAGCGGUGAGAAUAAAAAUAGCAGUGGAUAUGUGUUUGGAUUCAAACGUAGUUGUAGCGGUGAGAUGAGAAUAAAAAAUGACCAUUAUAGACAUUAGUUUACAAUGUAUUUAUAAUAAAAUAAAUAAUUAAAUUUAUAUUAAUAUUAAAUAAUAUAACAUAAAAUAAAAUUUUAUUUUUUAUAAAAUGAUAAUUAAAAUAUUAUAAUCAUAUGCAAUAAAAUUUAAAUAUUUUUAAAUUAUAUUAAUAAUAAAUAAUAAAACAUAUUUAAAUUUUUUAUAUUAAAUAAUAAUUAAAAUUAUAUAUUUAUGACAAUAAAUUUAUAUAUUUAUUAAAUUAUUAUAUAAUAAUAUCUAAUAAUAUUUUACUUUCUAUAAAGCUCAAAAAAAAAAAAACAAAGAACAAGGGUAAUAAAAUCACUCACCUCAGUUUCUUCACCACUGUCACCUUUGGCUUCAGUGAAAAUUGAGAACAGCAGUGUAGUGAGAGUGCUCAAUUGCACAUUGCACUGCACCUCAAAUCUCUCAAAUCUUCCAAACAAGAAAUCAGUGCAGUGAAAAGGAAUAUUCACCCAAUAUUCCAUCUCACCGUGGGUAAAAUCUAAUCCAAAGGGAGCCUAAGUUUUGGUGUUGAUUUCAAAUGACUGAGCAUUAGUUUAAGGUUUCUUUUAAUUUUGUUUUUAUAAAGAGUAAAACGGCACCGUUUGAGGGGGACACUUAAUUACGUUGGGUAAAUUCCACACUCGUGUCCCUCCCUAUUUUGCCGUCAUCUGAUUGAGUCCCAUUUAUGUUUCUUUUGUUUUUUUUUAAUUCUUUCCUAAAACUUAUAUGCUGUUUUGAUUUGAUCCAUGUUUACAUGGGGCGUUCAGAAACUUGGAAUAAUGGUGUUUUUAAUACCUGCACAUUCAUGCCCAUCGCACUUUGGUCCUUAUUUUUAUUUAAUGGUUUAUUUUAUUUAGUUUGGGUCUGUUUUAAUUAAGUUUUUU
rnacentral:lncRNA from 1 species